rnacentral:tRNA from 1 species
GGAUUGUGGCUCAGCGGUAGAGUGCUUGCCUAGCAUGCGUGAGGCCCUGGGUUCAAUCCUCAGUACCA